rnacentral:rRNA from 1 species
AGCGAACGCUGGCGGCAGGCCUAACACAUGCAAGUCGAACGAACUCUUCGGAGUUAGUGGCGGACGGGUGAGUAGCACGUGGGAACGUGCCUUUUGGUUCGGAAUAACUCAGGGAAACUUGUGCUAAUACCGAAUGCGCCCUUCGGGGGAAAGAUUUAUCGCCAUUAGGGCGGCCCGCGUCUGAUUAGCUAGUUGGUGAGGUAACGGCUCACCAAGGCGACGAUCAGUAGCUGGUCUGAGAGGAUGACCAGCCACACUGGGACUGAGACACGGCCCAGACUCCUACGGGAGGCAGCAGUGGGGAAUCUUGCGCAAUGGGCGAAAGCCUGACGCAGCCAUGCCGCGUGAAUGAUGAAGGUCUUAGGAUUGUAAAAUUCUUUCACCGGGGACGAUAAUGACGGUACCCGGAGAAGAAGCCCCGGCUAACCUCGUG